rnacentral:rRNA from 1 species
GAUGAACGCUAGCGGCAGGCUUAAUACAUGCAAGUCGUACGGGAUCCGAAGUAGCAAUACUUUGGUGAGAGUGGCGCACGGGUGCGUAACACGUAUGCAACCUACCUAUAACCGGGACAUAACCUCGAGAAAUUGAAGCUAAUAUCCCAUAACACUGCACUAAGGCAUCUUAGAGCAGUUAAAACUCCGGUGGUUAUAGAUGGGCAUGCGUCUGAUUAGCUUGUUGGUAGGGUAACGGCCUACCAAGGCUACGAUCAGUAGGGGUUCUGAGAGGAUUAACCCCCACACCUGGUACUGAGACACGGACCAGACUCCUACGGGAGGCAGCAGUGAGGAAUAUUGGUCAAUGGGCGAAGCCUGAACCAGCCAUCCCGCGUGAAGGAAGACAGCCUUACGGGUUGUAAACUUCUUUUCGUCAGAAGAAUAAGCUUGUCGAGACGAGUGAUGCCGGUAUGACAGGAAUAAGCAUCGGCUAACUCCGUGCCCAGCCAGGCCG